rnacentral:rRNA from 1 species
GUGGGAACGUACCCUUCACUACGGAAUAGCUUCUGGAAACGGAAGGUAAUACCGUAUACGCCCUUCGGGGGAAAGAUUUAUCGGUGAAGGAUCGGCCCGCGUUAGAUUAGAUAGUUGGUGGGGUAAGAGCCUACCAAGUCUACGAUCUAUAGCUGGUCUGAGAGGAUGAUCAGCCACACUGGGACUGAGACACGGCCCAGACUCCUACGGGAGGCAGCAGUGGGGAAUCUUGCACAAUGGGCGAAAGCCUGAUGCAGCCAUGCCGCGUGAAUGAUGAAGGCCUUAGGGUUGUAAAAUUCUUUCGCCAGGGAUGAUAAUGACAGUACCUGGUAAAGAAGCCCCGGCUAACUUCGUGCCAGCAGCCGCGGUAAUACGAAGGGGGCUAGCGUUGUUCGGAAUUACUGGGCGUAAAGCGCGCGUAGGCGGGCUAUUAAGCCAGAUGUGAAAGCCCGGGGCUCAACCCCGGAAUUGCAUUUGGAACUGGUAGCCUAGAGACCAGGAGAGGUUAGCGGAAUACCGAGUGUAGAGGUGAAAUUCGUAGAUAUUCGGUGGAACACCAGUGGCGAAGGCGGCUAACUGGACUGGUACUGACGCUGAGGCGCGAAAGUGUGGGGAGCAAACAGGAUUAGAUACCCUGGUAGUCCACACCG